rnacentral:lncRNA from 1 species
AUGUCAACGGUGACCCAACUCAACGCCCUUGGUGGUCCAGAGUCAGAGAGUCGGAAAAUUGUUCAGAGCUUUGCAGAGGUACUUGGUGACAAGUACCACUACGAGAAUGCCAUCGACAGCUCUCUGCUCUGGACUGUUGGGUACACCCCCUACAUUCCCCCAGCUCUGAAAGGAAGAAGCUUCCCUUCUGUCGAGAGCUUCUUCCUGGAUGAGUGGGAGCCACUGACACUCCUGCAGACUUCUCAGGUUCUGUCCACCAGUGUUUCCAUCGAGGAAGACAACCGGAUCCAGUCUGCUGCAGGCCUAGUGUCUCAGCUUCUGUCUACCAGUGUUUCCAUCGUGGAGAAUGACCUGAUCCAGUCUGCUGCAGGCCUAGUGUCUCAGGUUCUGUCCACCAGUGUUUCCAUCGUGGAGAAUGACCUGAUCCAGUCUGCUGCAGUCCUAGUGUCUCAGGUUCUGUCCACCAGUGUUGCCAUCGUGGAGAAUGACCUGAUUCAGUCUGCUGCAGGCCUAGUGUCUCAGGUUCUGUCCACCAGUGUUUCCAUCGUGGAGAAUGACCUGAUCCAGUCUGCUGCAGUCCUAGUGUCUCAGGUUCUGUCCACCAGUGUUUCCAUCGAGGAAGACAACCUGAUCCAGUCUGCUGCAGGCCUAGUGUCUCAGGUUCUGUCCACCAGUGUUACCAUCAUGGAGAAUGACCUGAUCCAGUCUGCUGCAGUCCUAGUGUCUCAGGUUCUGUCCACCAGUGUUGCCAUCGUGGAGAAUGACCUGAUCCAGUCUGCUGCAGGCCUAGUGUCUCAGGUUCUGUCCACCAGUGUUUCCAUCGAGGAAGACAACCGGAUCCAGUCUGCUGCAGGCCUAGUGUCUCAGGUUCUGUCCACCAGUGUUUCCAUCGUGGAGAAUGACCUGAUCCAGUCUGCUGCAGGCCUAGUGUCUCAGGUUCUGUCCACCAGUGUUUCCAUCGUGGAGAAUGACCUGAUCCAGUCUGCUGCAGUCCUAGUGUCUCAGGUUCUGUCCACCAGUGUUGCCAUCGUGGAGAAUGACCUGAUUCAGUCUGCUGCAGGCCUAGUGUCUCAGGUUCUGUCCACCAGUGUUUCCAUCGUGGAGAAUGACCUGAUCCAGUCUGCUGCAGUCCUAGUGUCUCAGGUUCUGUCCACCAGUGUUUCCAUCGAGGAAGACAACCUGAUCCAGUCUGCUGCAGGCCUAGUGUCUCAGGUUCUGUCCACCAGUGUUACCAUCAUGGAGAAUGACCUGAUCCAGUCUGCUGCAGUCCUAGUGUCUCAGGUUCUGUCCACCAGUGUUACCAUCAUGGAGAAUGACCUGAUCCAGUCUGCUGCAGGCCUAGUGUCUCAGGUUAUGUCCACCAGUGUUUCCAUCGUGGAGAAAGACCUGAUCCAGUCUGCUGCAGUCCUAGUGUCUCAGGUUCUGUCCACCAGUGUUGCCAUCGUGGAGAAUGACCUGAUCCAGUCUGCUGCAGGCCUAGUGUCUCAGGUUCUGUCCACCAGUGUUACCAUCGUGGAGAAUGACCUGAUCCAGUCUGCUGCAGGCCUAGUGUCUCAGGUUCUGUCCACCAGUGUUUCCAUCGAGGAAGACAACCUGAUCCAGUCUGCUGCAGGCCUAGUGUCUCAGGUUCUGUCCACCAGUGUUACCAUCGUGGAGAAUGACCUGAUCCAGUCUGCUGCAGGCCUAGUGUCUCAGGUUCUGUCCAGCAGUGACGCUAGAGUGAAGGAUCGUGAUGAUUCCACACUGAGAGACUCCAACCAACCUGAGGUCCAUGUGGCUGAUGUCUCAACCAAGAGAAGUAGACUAGUCAUCACUAUUUCUAUGUUUUCAACCGAGAGUUGCAAUGCUUCGGUCCAUGAGGUUGAUGCUAUUGCUACCAGCCUGGAGCACUCUGCUGAGAAAAUGUCUACCUCUACCGCUGAUGGCCACAUUGUUUCAUCCACUGCUGUAGCCAAUCAGAAGGAAACAAGGGGCGGAUUCGUCUCAUCUCUACGGAGACUGUUCACAAGAAAGAACAGGAUGCCUGUCAGUAAUACUUAUAUACUUAUAUAAUCUUUUGUACUGUAAUAUGUUAUCAUUUAUUAACUAUUGUUAUACUAAUAUCCAGUGUUAAUGGUUGUCUUUAAAAUAUUUUUCUCUGUUGUCUACUUGUCUGUUUUCAGGCUAAAGUGGCUUCCAAGAAGGAGCACAUUCACUUGGUUGACCGCCUCAAUGCUGAAGUCACCCACUGAGGGCACUCACUCACUGCUGAAGGCAUCCAGAAUGAUGCUUCUGUUUCUCCUCAACGCCACCUACACCCCUGCCCCUCUCCCCCACACCAAACCCUACCAGGGUUGGGGUGAAUUCCAGAUAUAUUCAGUCAAUUCAGC